UCGAAGGAGUGGCGAACGGGUGAGUAAUACAUAAGCAACCUACCCACGAAGACUGGGAUAAUCUCUGGAAACGGGGACUAAUACCGGAUAGGUAAUCGGAAGGCAUCUUCUGGUUAUUAAAGGUUAAAAACACUGGUGGAUGGGCUUAUGGCGCAUUAGUUAGUUGGUGAGGUAACGGCCCACCAAGACGAUGAUGCGUAGCCGGCCUGAGAGGGUGAACGGCCACAUUGGGACUGAGACACGGCCCAGACUCCUACGGGAGGCAGCAGCC
rnacentral:rRNA from 1 species